ACUAGAUGGUAUGUCAUGGAUAAAUCAUCAAAUCUCAACAUCAAUCAUAUGAUAGAAUCGAUCAGCUCAAGUCCAAUUAUGAUUUUUAUGAAAACUCUUUUCCAUCAAUCACACUGCUGUGGCCGCAGACUCUCGGACUUAGCCUCUCAAAUUUUAUAAAACUACUUCUCUCUAUCAAGAUCGAUAGAUCUCAUCUUGAUAUGUACCCUACUCUUAUAGUGGACCAACUAUCGCCAACACCCACGAUAAAGGCUCA
rnacentral:lncRNA from 1 species